CCAACGGUCGCUGAGUUAGAGCUUAACAGCGUAAAUCCGUCGCCUGACAUGUUCGAAGAGG
rnacentral:ncRNA from 1 species